CUACGGGAUGCACCAGUGAGGAAUAUUGCACAAUGGGGGGAACCCUGAUGCAGCAACGCCGCGUGGAGGAUGACGCAUUUCGGUGUGUAAACUCCUUUUAUAUGUCAAGAAAAUGACGGUAGCAUAUGAAUAAGCACCGGCUAACUCCGUGCCAGCAGCCGCGGUAAUACGGAGGGUGCAAGCGUUACUCGGAAUCACUGGGCGUAAAGGACGCGUAGGCGGGUUGGAAAGUCAGGUGUGAAAUCCUACAGCUUAACUGUAGAACUGCACUUGAAACUUCUAAUCUAGAGUAUGGGAGGGGGAGAUGGAAUUUGUGGUGUAGGGGUAAAAUCCGUAGAUAUCACUAGGAAUACCUAAAGCGAAGGCGAUCUCCUGGAACAUUACUGACGCUAAGGCGUGAAAGCGUGGGGAGCAAGCAGGAUUAGAUACCCCUGUAGUC
rnacentral:rRNA from 1 species